UGGGGAAUUUUGGACAAUGGGCGAAAGCCUGAUCCAGCCAUGCCGCGUGAGUGAAGAAGGCCUUCGGGUUGUAAAGCUCUUUUAGUCGGAAAGAAAGAGUUGCAAUGAAUAAUUGUGAUUUAUGACGGUACCGACAGAAAAAGCACCGGCUAACUACGUGCCAGCAGCCGCGGUAAUACGUAGGGUGCGAGCGUUAAUCGGAAUUACUGGGCGUAAAGGGUGCGCAGGCGGUCUUGCAAGUCAGAUGUGAAAGCCCCGGGCUUAACCUGGGAAUUGCGUUUGAAACUACAAGACUAGAGUGCAGCAGAGGGGAGUGGAAUUCCAUGUGUAGCAGUGAAAUGCAUAGAGAUGUGGAAGAACACCGAUGGCGAAGGCAGCUCCCUGGGUUGACACUGACGCUCAUGCACGAAAGCGUGGGGAGCAAACA
rnacentral:rRNA from 1 species